CUUUAUAAUACUAAAUCUUGACUGAUUUAUUUUGUUAAAUUUAGAAAAUAAACAUAACCUUUUAAGUAAACCUUAGGUUUGGUUCUGUGAUAAAAUUGUCUUAAACAAAAACUAUUAAAAAUAAACGGCUUUUUUCAAAGAGAUUAUGAUGAUAAUGCGGUUAUUUAGAUCUAAAUUGCCGGAUAAGUAAUAAAUGAUAAUAUUUGUCAAUUUGUUAACAAAUUCGAAAUUAUUUCAGGCUUAACGCAAUGAUUUCAAGCCUUUGGCCAUCAUACACUUAUUUGUGUUUGAGGAUUAUAGCAUAUCACCAUGUAAUAUGUAACAUAUAACAUGUAACCAAUGUAUAACAAAACCUAUUAUAUUACUUGUAGAUACUUUUAAUUAUUUAAAUAUUAUAAAUGUUUUGAUAAUGACUUUAACUUAUGAUUGUAAAAAUUGUGAAUUAACUGUGGUAUACAUUUUUUACGAUAUAAAAUGAUUCAAUGUGAACAUCAGAAAGACAUCCCAUCAAAAUCUAUUAUUUUUGUCAGACUACAUACAUGUAUAGUGAAGGUUGUUUACUGUACUUAUUGUUAGUAAAAAGAACACUUUAGUAAAUAAAUUGUAUUUGUGUUUCUAUUUAUGGUUUAAAUAUGUCUGAAAGAAUAAAGUUAUAUAUCUUCCUUA